ensembl:snoRNA
UUAUUCUUUUAAGGUUGAUGCAGUUCUUUAAGAGACUAACAUGGAGGGGUAAAGUAAAUCUCCAUAAAACCUGGAGAAGAGAUUUUUAAAACUCCUCUUUGGAUCCUGUCUGGAGUCACAGCU